AUCUCUGGUUCGCUCCAGUUCGCACCGACGCCUCCAGCCCUCCGCUCGACCACGCUGCACUUGAUGUCUCGACCCCUCCUCGCAUCGUUCCCGCACGCAGCGCCGCUGCCUGUCGGAGGUAGAUGUCAACUAGCGGUGGUACCCCGCCCCCCGCGCCGGCGGCGCCCAGCCCCACGCCUGCCCCUCUUCUUCGGCUCGGAGGAAGCAGCAGCCGAGCAGGGACAAGCAACCCUGGCAGGGGCGCCCCGCCACCCGCGCCGGCGGCGCCUGCCCCCCGGUCCGCCCCUCCUGUUCGGCUCGGAGGGAGCAGCAGCAGCCGAGCAGGGAUGGGCAACCCUGGCGGCGGCGCCCUGCCCCUCGCGGUACAGAAACAAAAGAUGAAGAUGAAGAGGAGUGGAAUUGUUGGCAGUAGCAUAUUUGCAAUGUGGGAAAAGGCUUCAAAGGCAAGGAAAAUAGAUGAAGUAUCCACACCGAAUCAGACAGUAGCUGCAUCUAGUACUUGUACUUCUCCUGUUCAUUUGGAGAGAAAUUUGCAAUUGGUGUUAUGGCAAGAACCGGAGAGUAGAGGAGAAACCUCAACGCCUCAUGUAGAAGAUGAUGAAUUUAUUGACGAAGAUGAUGAACCGAUGCAAGCUGAUUUGGAGGCACUCAAACAUGAUCCUUGAAAGCGGAUUCCCAUCUCAGUAUAUGCUGUCAAUGACCAAGAUAGAGUUGUGUAGAGCUUUGCAAAAGCGAGACGAAGAUAUUGUUCAUGCUAUUGAGCUUAUUGCUGACACAAAGUAUUACUUGGAGGCUUUGAGGACCGAUGCUGGAUGGGAUGAUUUUCUCACAAAGGUCACAUCUUUUUGUGCGAAGAAUAAGAUCAAAGUUGUUGAUAUGGAGGGUCCUUACUUUCCCGUUGGCCGGCCUAGAAGGGGUUUAUGUAAUGGUCUGACCAAUUACCACCGCUUCAAGGUUGAUAUGUUUGUGGGUGUCAUUGAUAGGCAAAUCGGUGAGCUGAAUGGCAGAUUUGAUGAGUAGCUACUGCUAGUGUUGAAAGGGUAUUCUCUUCAAUGAGCUAUGUGAAGAAUAAGCUAAGAACAAAAUGGGUGAUGAUU